rnacentral:tRNA from 1 species
GGGAAUGUGGCUUAGUGGUAGAGUGCUUGCCUAGCAUGCAUGAGGUCCUGGGUCCAAAUCCUGAGCACCA